rnacentral:rRNA from 1 species
CAUUCCGAACACAGAAGUUAAGCUCUCUAGCGCUGAUGGUACUUGGUGGGAAACUGCCUGGGAGAGUAGGACGUAGCCACGU